GCAAGUCGAACGAGGAAACUGACUUCGGUCAGUGGAAAGUGGCGGACGGGUGAGGUAAAAAUGUAAGAGAAUCUGCCCUAGAGAGUGGGACGAACAGAGGGAAACUUCUGCUAAUACCGCAUAUGCGCGUAGCUGAAAUGCUAUUCGUGAAAACUCCGGUGCUCUGGGAUGAGUCUGCAGUCUGAUUAGCUAGUUGGCGGUGUAAUGGACCACCAAGGCGACGAUCAGUAGCUGGUUUGAGAGGAUGAUCAGCCACAAUGGGACUGAGACACGGCCCAGUACUCCUACGGGAGGCAGCAGUAGGGAAUUUUGCGCAAUGGGGGAAACCCUGGAACCGCAGCAACGCCGCGUGAUUGAAGAAGCCCUUCGGGGUGUAAAGAUCUGUCAGUGGGGACGAAACUUGACGGUACCCACAGAGGAAGCAUCGGCUAACUCCGUGCCAGCCGCGGC
rnacentral:rRNA from 1 species